GACGAACGCUGGCGGCGUGCUUAACACAUGCAAGUCGAACGGAAAGGCCCUGCUUUUGUGGGGUGCUCGAGUGGCGAACGGGUGAGUAACACGUGAGUAACCUGCCCUUGACUUUGGGAUAACUUCAGGAAACUGGGGCUAAUACCGGAUAGGAGCUCCUGCUGCAUGGUGGGGGUUGGAAAGUUUCGGCGGUUGGGGAUGGACUCGCGGCUUAUCAGCUUGUUGGUGGGGUAGUGGCUUACCAAGGGUUUGACGGGUAGCCGGCCUGAGAGGGUGACCGGGCACAUUGGGACUGAGAUACGGCCCAGACUCCUACGGGAGGGAGCAGUGGGGAAUAUUGUACAAUGGGCGGAAGACUGAUGCAGCAACGCCGCGUGCGGGAUGACAGGCUUCGGGUUGUGAACCGCUUUCGCCUGUGACGAAGCGUGAGUGACGGUAAUGGGUGAAGAAGCACCGGCUAACUACGUG
rnacentral:rRNA from 1 species